GACGUAGGGCGCGAGCGUUGUCCGGAUUUAUUGGGCGUAAAGAGCUCGUAGGCGGCUUGUUGCGUCGACCGUGAAAACCCGGGGCUCAACUUCGGGCUUGCGGUCGAUACGGGCGGGCUGGAGUUCGGUAGGGGAGACUGGAAUUCCUGGUGUAGCGGUGAAAUGCGCAGAUAUCAGGAGGAACACCGGUGGCGAAGGCGGGUCUCUGGGCCGAUACUGACGCUGAGGAGCGAAAGCGUGGGGAGCGAACAGG
rnacentral:rRNA from 1 species